AUGCAUUUUACGUACUUAUCAUGUACUGAAAAUGGUUCCAGGAUAGCUAUGGAGGAUAUAACCUGUGGUGAGAAAAAACAAAUGGCAAUGAGGUUGACAUAUCUGAACAACCUCCAACAGCUGAGAAAUGUGAAGCUUUCCUUGUCUGCUCAGCGCCAUAGAUGGUACCCCCACAAAACCCAGCAUGCCUCUUGUGAGUUCAGUGUGGGCAUGGUGGCCUCCUGUGCUCUCGUGAUUUUGGCAGCUUACCAUAAACUAGUUGCUGUGGUUUGGACCUCAAAUGUCCACUGAAGGCGCGGUGAUGAAGCUUGGUUACCUGCCGUGGUGCAGCUCCUGGAAGGGGGGCCUAACAGAGUGUGGCCUGGUGAAGGAGGUGAGACUGUGUGAGGUGUGGCCCGGAGGGACACCAAGAACCCAGUGUCCUUCCUCAUCCUUUGUUACCCAGAUGCCAUGAGGCAAGCAGUUUUGCUCUACCACAGUUCCCUCCGUGAGGUCCCUGCCUUGUGUUCUGCCCCCAAGACCCGGGGCCGCUGACCUCUGAAAGUGAGCCAAGAUAAACUUUCCUCCUGUUAUGUUGUUUACCCUGUACUUUUGAUAGAGAUGGAGAUGACCAAUGCACUGGCAAACCUCAGGGUGCGUUGGGUUCAGUAUCUUAAAGUUUGUUUCUAAUUUCAUGAAAAAACACAUUAAGAUUGAGCCUAUUUCCUUACAAGUCUGUAUGUAGGACAGGAUUGUCUUGUGAACAAAUUAGAAACCCCCUUCUCUGUCCUCAUUGGCUUUUCUCCCUUAAAUCACCC
rnacentral:lncRNA from 1 species